ACCAAGACUCAUGAUUGCCAUCAACUAUUGAUUGAGGAGAUUGGGGUCCACAAGGACCUUCCAGACAUACCGCUGACUGGAGAAGUGCUGACCUGGUUCACUGAUGGGAGCAGCUAUGUAGUGGAAGACACCUUUUCAGGAUGGGUAGAGGCUUAUCCUACUAAGAAGGAGACUUCAACCGUGGUGGCUAAGAAAAUAUUGGAGGAAAUUUUUCCAAGAUUUGGAAUACCUAAGGUAAUAGGAUCAGACAAUGGUCCAGCUUUUGUUGCCCAGGUAAGUCAGGGACUGGCCAAGACAUUGGGGAUUGAUUGGAAAUUGCAUUGUGCAUACAGACCCCAAAGCUCAGGACAGGUAGAAAGGAUGAAUAGAACCAUUAAAGAGACCCUUACCAAAUUGACCACAGAGACUGGCAUUAAUGAUUGGAUAGCUCUCCUGCCCUUUGUGCUCUUCAGGGUUAGGAACACCCCUGGACAGUUUGGGCUGACCCCCUAUGAAUUGCUCUAUGCCCCCCCCCCCUCGUUGGUAGAAAUUGCCUCUGUACAUAGUGCUGAUGUGCUGCUUUCCCAGCCUUUGUUCUCUAGGCUCAAGGCGCUCGAGUGGGUGAAGCAGCGAGCAUGGAAGCAGCUCCGGGAGGCCUACUCAGGAGAAGGAGACUUGCAAGUUCCACAUCACUUCCAAGUUGGAGAUUCAGUCUAUGUUAGACGCCACCGUGCAGGAAACCUCGAGACUCGGUGGAAGGGCCCUUAUCUCGGACUUUUGACCACACCAACGGUUGUGAAAGUCGAAGGAAUCUCCACCUGGAUCCAUGCGUCCCACGUCAAGCCGGCGCCCCUCCCGACUCAGGGUGGAGAGCUGAAAAGACUGAGAAUCCCCUUAAGCUUCGCCUCCAUCGCCUGGUUCCUUACUCUAACAAUAACUCCCCAAGCCAGUGGUAAACGCCUUAUAGACAGCUCGAACCCCCGUAGACCCUUAUCCCUUACCUGGCUGAUUAUUGACCCUCAUACGGGUGUCACUGUUAAUAGCACUCGAGGUGUCGCUCCUAAAGGCACCUGGUGGCCUGAACUGCAUUUCUGCCUCCGAUUGAUUAACCCCGCUGCUAAAAGCACACCUCCCAACCUAGUCCGUAGUUAUGGGUUCUAUUGCUGCCCAGGCACAGAGAAAGAGAAAUACUGUGGGGGUUCCGGGGAAUCCUUCUGUAGGAGAUGGAGCUGCGUCACCUCCAACGAUGGAGACUGGAAAUGGCCGAUCUCUCUCCAGGACCGGGUAAAAUUCUCCUUUGUCAAUUCCGGCCCGGGGAAGUACAAAGUUAUGGAACUAUAUAAAGAUAAGAGCUGUUCCCCAUCAGACUUAGAUUAUCUAAAAAUAAGUUUCACUGAAAAAGGAAAACAGGAAAAUAUUCAAAAGUGGAUAAAUGGUAUGAGCUGGGGAAUAGUUUUUUAUAAAUAUGGAGGGGGAGCAGGGUCCACUUUAACCAUUCGCCUUAGGGUAGAGACGGGGACGGAACCCCCUGUGGCAGUGGGACCCAACAAAGUACUGGCUGAACAGGGGCCCCCGGCCCUGGAGCCACCACACAACUUGCCGGUGCCCUAAUUAACCUCGCUGCGGCCUGACAUAACACAGCCGCCUGGCAACGGUACCACUGGAUUGAUUCCUACCAACAUGCCAGAAACUCCCCCGGUGUUCCUGUUAAGACAGGACAGAGACUCUUUAGUCUCAUCCAGGGAGUUUUCCAAGCCAUCAACUCCACCGACCCCGAUGCCACUUCUUCUUGUUGGCUUUGUCUAUCCUCAGGGCUCCUUAUUAUGAGGAAUGGCUAGAGAAGGAAAUUCAAUGUGACCAAAGAGCAUAGAAAUCAAUGUACAUGGGGGUCCCGAAAUAAGCUUACCUUCACUGAAGUUUCCGGGAAGGGGACAUGCAUAGGAAAAGCUCCCCCAUCCCACCAACACCUUUGCAAUAGUACUAUGGUUUAUGAGCAGGCCUCAGAAAAUCAGUAUUUAGUACCUGGUUAUAACAGGUGGUGGGCAUGCAAUACUGGGUUAACUCCCUGUGUUUCUACCACAGUCUUUAACCAAUCCAAAGAUUUCUGUGUCAUGGUCCAGCUCGUCCCCCGGGUAUACUACCAUCCUGAGGAAGUAGUCAUCGAUGAGUAUGACUAUCGGCCUACCCGCUCAAAAAGAGAGCCCGUGACCCUUACCCUAGCCGUUAUACUUGGAUUAGGGAUGGCCGGUGUGGGGACAGGGACAGCUGCCCUGAUCACAGGACCACAGCAGCUAGAAAAAGGACUUGGUGAGCUACAUGCAGCCAUGACAGAAGAUCUCCGAGCCUUAGAGGAAUCUGUUAGCAACCUAGAAGAAUCCCUGACUUCUUUGUCUGAAGUGGUUCUACAGAACUGGAGGGGAUUAGAUCUGGUUUCUAAAAGAAGGUGGGUUAUGUGCAGCCUUAAAAGAAGAAUGUUGCUUCUAUGCGGAUCACUUGGGAGCCAUCAGAGACUCCAUGAGCAAGCUUAGAGAAAGGUUAGAGAGACGUCGAAGGGAAAGAGAGUCUGACCAGGGGUGGUUUGAAGGAUGGUUCAACAGGUCUCCUUGGAUGACCACCCUGCUUUCUGCUCUGAUGGACCCCUAGUGGUCCUGCUCCUGUUGCUUACAGUUGGGCCUUGCUUAAUUAAUAGGUUUGUUGCCUUUGUUAGAGAACGAGUGAGUACAGUCCAGAUCAUGGUACUUAGGCAACAGUACCAAGGCCUUCCGAGCCAAGGAGAAACUGACCUUUAGCCUUCCCAGUUCUAAGAUUAGAACUAUUAACAAGAGAAGAAAUGGGGAAUGAAAGGAUGAAAAUGCAGCCUAACCCUCCAAGACCCCAAGAAGGUAGUAAAGAGCCCUAACUCCAGCUUCCUAAAAAACCCUAGAUGCCCCCGAAUUCCAGACCCUGCUCCCUGCCAGUAAAUAGGUAGAAGGUCACACUUCUUGCUGUUCCAGGGCCUGCUCUCUGUAUGAAACUAGGUGAAAGGACGUAAAAUAGGCCCUUGAGUGGGUGAUCCUGGCCUAAGUAAGAUCACAGGAAAUGAGUGGACUAAUCGCUUAUCUGGAUUCUGUAAAACUGCUUGCGCCAUAGAAGAAAUGAUUACACAUUGAAAGCCCUAGUGACCUAUCUCAACUGCAAUCUGUCACUCCGCCCAGGAGCCCCCGCAAAUGCGGACCUCCGGAACUGUAGAAAAAUGAUUGGUCCACGGAGCGUGGGCUCUCGAUGUUUUAAAAUGAUUGGUUUGUGAAGCGCGGGCUUUGUUGUGAACCGCAUGAAAGCUGUCCCGAUUCCGCACUCGGGGCAGCAGUCCUCUACCCCUGCGUGGCCUAAGACUGUGGGCCCCAGCGCGCUUGGAAUAAAAAUCCUCUUGCUGUUUGCAUCAAGACCGCUUCUCCUGAGUGAUAUGGGGUGUCGCCUCUUCUGAGUCCGGACGAGGGGGAUUUUCCUUCUACUGGUCUUUCACUUCACUGCUUAAACUGAAUGUCUAUGUCUAAAAGCUUUUCACACUCCAGCCUGUAAUCCACCUACAAUUAAUUUAUAGGUAUAUUUUAAAGUAUGGCUUUUUUUCUAAUAAGUGUAAUUGAGUCAGCAAUGUUUAAUGAUGAAUCGCCCAUAUUUACUGUGCCUUGUAACAAAUCUGACAUUUAGAAGGAAAAGUACCUCUGUCAUCCUUUUCUUCUCUUUUAAUAUAAUCUAGCUUGCUAAAGCCCUCUAGUUCUUGCAAUUUUGGAAUUUGAUUGAAAUCUCACUAUGGAAAUAUAUAAUUUUAAAGAAACUUUGUAUUUUUAUUUUUUCUCUCAUUAACAUGGUGUAUCACUGCAUAAAGAUAUAAAAAAACUGUAUCUUUCCAUAAAAUUUUUAACUAUCCCUGUGUAAGUACUUUGUCAGAUAAAUUCAUGAUCUACUUUCUUAAAACCUUAUUUUCUGUAUAUUUCUGAAUUAAAACUAUGAACAGUACCUAGCAAAUGUGAUCACUCCCUUAUUGAUUUUAAACACAUUGAUUCUCAAGUUUUCCCUGUAGACAUAUCAUCUGCAACUAAUGAUUACUUAUUCCUUUUCACAUCUUAUACAUAGUUUCUAAUUUUAAACUGUCCUAACAAACUCUUAGUACUCCUCUCACAUGGAAUGAGUAAUUUUUAUUUGCACGAUAUUCAAUAGGUCUUAAUAUUUCAACCCCAAAUUGAUCUACCAGUUAUUAAAUCUCUUUUCGAAGUGUUUGUCU